AGUGAACGCUGGCGGUAGGCCUAACACAUGCAAGUCGAACGGCAGCACAGGAGAGCUUGCUCUCUGGGUGGCGAGUGGCGGACGGGUGAGGAAUACAUCGGAAUCUACCUUUUCGUGGGGGAUAACGUAGGGAAACUUACGCUAAUACCGCAUACGACCUACGGGUGAAAGUGGGGGACCGCAAGGCCUCACGCGAUUAGAUGAGCCGAUGUCCGAUUAGCUAGUUGGCGGGGUAAUGGCCCACCAAGGCGACGAUCGGUAGCUGGUCUGAGAGGAUGAUCAGCCACACUGGAACUGAGACACGGUCCAGACUCCUACGGGAGGCAGCAGUGGGGAAUAUUGGACAAUGGGCGCAAGCCUGAUCCAGCCAUACCGCGUGGGUGAAGAAGGCCUUCGGGUUGUAAAGCCCUUUUGUUGGAAAAGAAAUCCUGUCGAUUAAUACUCGGUGGGGAUGACGGUACCCAAAGAAUAAGCACCGGCUAACUUCGUG
rnacentral:rRNA from 1 species